UGUGCGUACCUGUGCACUCUCUCUCUAAAAUAAACGAAUAGAUGGCAUCUCAGUAUUUAAAGCUAUGUCACUAAUUUUCCUUAAAUGGAAAUUAACGUGUCAUAACAAAGAGCAUUUUUCAAUCGGCUUAUUUUUCUAGUGCGGGUAUUUUAUCUGGAUUACAGAGCGCCUGGAACAGGAUGGGUUGGAUGCACACGUCUUUUCCUCACACCUGGGCUCGUUAAGGAAUCAGCAGCCGGGCUGGGGGACCUGCCCACGCAGUGAGAGGAGAGAGGGCGCCUCUGACUCGGGGUGAAAGAAGGCAAAAGGAACCAGGAGAAGAUGGUAAAGAAAAAUGGGCAGCAGAGGACGAGGUCUUGGCUGAUGGUCUAGUGGAAGAAGAUGGACAGAAGGAUCUGUUCACAGCACUGCUGGCAGGUGUACAAACAUUCAAAUCAAUGGCCCCAAGGGACUUUAGAAUCACGAAAACUAAAGAUUUCUGGAUUAAAAUGAAGGACAGCAACUUCACAAAUCUUGAGUAAUUAAAAAUGCUUCCUGCAGGUAUAAAGGAGUAAAUGGCUGUGGUGAGGGAUAGACAAAUGAGAGAGUUAAUGGACAGUUCUGGGCGGCAGGGAAGCUGGUUCCCUCCCUACAUUCAGGUGGGAUUUUAUUUAAAAAUGAGCCUGAUGUAAGUUAUUGCUUAGUUAUAAUAACUAAAUAUUCCAAACUCCAUAACCAUGUUUUAGAUCAGGAAGCAACCAUCC